CCUACGGGUGGCAGCAGUGGGGAAUAUUGGGCAAUGGGCGCAAGCCUGACCCAGCAACGCCGCGUGAAGGAAUAAGGCUUUCGGGUUGUAAACUUCUUUUAAGAGGGAAGAGAAUAAGACGGUACCUCUUGAAUAAGCCACGGCUAACUACGUGCCAUCAGCCGCGGUAAUACGUAGGUGGCAAGCGUUGUCCGGAUUUCCUGGUUGUAACGGGCGUGCAGCCGGGCUGAUAAGUCAGAUGUGAAAUCCCGCGGCUCAACCGAGGAACUGCAUUUGAAACUGGUAGUCUUGAGUACCGGAGAGGUCAUCGGAAUGCCUUGUGUAGCGGUGAAAUGCGUAGAUAUAAGGAAGAACACCAGUGGCGAAGGCGGAUUACUGGACGGCAACUGACGGUGAGGCGCGAAAGCGUGGGGAGCAAACAGGAUUAGAUACCCCAGUAGUC
rnacentral:rRNA from 1 species